rnacentral:rRNA from 1 species
GAUGAACGCUGACAGAAUGCUUAACACAUGCAAGUCUUUGGCGAAGCUGUGCUUGCACAGCCUAGCCAAGGCGCACGGGUGAGUAACGCGUCAGGAACUUGCCCUGCAGUCAGGGAUAACAGACGGAAACGACUGAUAAGACCUGGUAAAGUCAGGCGGACUCAUGUCCAGCCUGAUGAAAAGAGAUGCUGCAGGAGAGCCUUGCGUCCUAUUAGCUUGUUGGUGGGGUAACGGCCCAACAAGGCGAUGAUAGGUAGCCGGCCUGAGAGGGUGGACGGCCAAAAGGGGAAUGAGAUACGGCCCUUACUCCUCCGGGGGGCAGCAGUGGGGAAUAUUGGACAAUGGGGGCAACACUGAUCCAGCAAUUCUGUGUGCACGAUGAAGGUUUUCGGAUUGUAAAGUGCUUUCAGCAGGGAAGAAAAAAAUGACGGUACCUGCAGAAGAAGCGACGGCUAAAUACGUG